GUAUGAUUGAUAGGAUAUUUGGGAUUCUGCUGAUGUACCUAUAAUAGAGGACAAAACAUAGUGCAAAUAUUGCUACACACUAUAAAACCACUGAUAAAAAAUAUGCACUCACAUAUUCCAAAGAAUAUAAGCGUAUUUAGGGUGCCUCCCCCUAAGUGUAAAAAGGGGGGGUUGUUCUCCUUUAAUUCUCCCUCCUCAAGUGAUAGCCAAUGGGGUAUCCAGGUCAGCGAGAAGAUCCAAGCAAAUGCAACCAAAGGAAUACUUCAAAGGCGAUUUAUUCACUUGUAAAAUUCAAGAGGUGUAUAAAAAAUACAUAAAAACAAUAUAAGAAAGAGAUGCUGGUCCUACGCGUUUCGUCCUUAUACAGAAGGACUUCCUCAGGGACCUCUUUCAGCACAAAAUUCAAUCACCAAAAUUACAGAGAAUAAAAAACAGCAUCCUAAAAACGCUAACACAUGAAUAACCUUAUAUAGGGCUAAUCCCUUCUAGUCAUUGGUGGAAUAGUGGGUGUUUUCUCCUCUUUUGACUCCUAUUCGUCCAGGGUUUCUUUUCUUCAGGUGUGUUCACUUGAUCGGAAUGAAAAAAGCCGGGCUCGUUCCGAAAACAGCCACUUCCGCAUACGUCAUACGUUACGUUCGCGUCACGUGUUCCGUGAUUUAUCACAUGAUCAUCAUGCGUUCCACAUUCGGAAACAGAAAUGGACGUGCGUUCCACAUAGUGGCAGCCUGGAAACAUCGUAUUUCUUUUACCUAAUAAUUAUACACACAUAACUAGAAGCAAAAGAACUGUUAGAAAUCAAAUGAGAGAAUUUAAAAUAUUAUAUUGAUUGUCCUCUAACAAUGAAACACUAAAAAUAAUUCUUAUAAUGAAUGUGUAACAACUUCCUAUCCAAGUUGACCAUUCAUAAUA